rnacentral:rRNA from 1 species
GACGAACGCUGGCGGCGUGCUUAACACAUGCAAGUCGAACGGAAAGGCCCUGCUUUUGUGGGGUGCUCGAGUGGCGAACGGGUGAGUAACACGUGAGUAACCUGCCCUUGACUUUGGGAUAACUUCAGGAAACUGGGGCUAAUACCGGAUAGGAGCUCCUGCUGCAUGGUGGGGGUUGGAACGUUUCGGCGGUUGGGGAUGGACUCGCGGCUUAUCAGCUUGUUGGUGGGGUAGUGGCUUACCAAGGCUUUGACGGGUAGCCGGCCUGAGAGGGUGACCGGCCACAUUGGGACUGAGAUACGGCCCAGACUCCUACGGGAGGCAGCAGUGGGGAAUAUUGCACAAUGGGCGGAAGCCUGAUGCAGCAACGCCGCGUGCGGGAUGACGGCCUGCGGGUUGUAAACCGAUUUCGCCUGUGACGAAGCGUGAGUGACGGUAAUGGGUAAAGAAGCACCGGCUAACUACGUG